GAUGAAGAACGUAGCGAAAUGCGAUACGUAAUGUGAAUUGCAGAAUUCAGUGAAUCAUCGAGUCUUUGAACGCACAUUGCGCCCCCUGGUAUUCCGGGGGGCAUGCCUGUCCGAGCGUCAUUGCUGCCCUCAAGCACGGCUUGUGUGUUGGGCCUCCGUCCUCCUCCCGGGGGACGGGCCCGAAAGGCAGCGGCGGCACCGCGUCCGGUCCUCGAGCGUAUGGGGCUUCGUCACCCGCUCUUGCAGGCCCGGCCGGCGCUUGCCGACACAUCAAUCUUUUUUCCAGGUUGACCUCGGAUCAGGUAGGGAUACCCGCUGAACUUAAGCAUAUCAAUAAGCGGAGGA
rnacentral:misc_RNA from 1 species